UACAGAGGUCUCAAGCGUUGUUCGGAGUUACUGGGCGUAAAGAGUGCGUAGGCGGUUUUCUAAGUUUGGUGUGAAAUCUCCCGGCUCAACUGGGAGGGUGCGCCGAAGACUGGAAGGCUUGAGUAUGGGAGAGGUAAGCGGAAUUCCUGGUGUAGCGGUGAAAUGCGUAGAUAUCAGGAGGAACACCUGCGGUGUAGACGGCUUACUGGACCAUAACUGACGCUGGGGCACGAAAGCGUGGGUAGCAAACAGG
rnacentral:rRNA from 1 species